UUAUUUCCCACGUUUAUGUACGUCGUUCAAUUUGGAAGAGAAAAGAUAAAGUAUAUUAUUAAAGUACAUAGUGCUGUGCACAAAGAAUUGUCAAGAAUAGGCGAAAUGAAAGCGUAAACCUGACCGAAACCUAACCUGUAUCGAACAUUCUAUACUUUGACAUAAUACGUGGAAUACGUUCAUCCGUGCGUAGAGAUGAAUUUUCGCAUCGACAAAGGGCCAAAUCAAUGGAGAUUUCUAACAACAUGCGUAGAACGUGUAAAAGAUUAAUUAACUGGUGCAUAGUACUUGACACUCAUCAAAAGAAAUAUAUGAUAAAAGGAAUGGGCCUCAGGAGUUAACCUCCUAAGCGGGUAAAACAAAAGAUACACGAUGCGUAAAUGCCAUCUGUGAUCACUUCAUCCAAACAGUGAAAUAAUGCUGUAAUAUUUGGAUUAUAGAAGUAACAGAAUAAUAAAUCAAGAAUAUGCAUUCUUUC